CCUACGGGUGGCAGCAGUGAGGAAUAUUGGUCAAUGGGCGCGAGCCUGAACCAGCCAAGUAGCGUGAAGGAUGACUGCCCUACGGGUUGUAAACUUCUUUUAUAAAGGAAUAAAGUGAGGCACGUGUGCCGUUUUGUAUGUACUUUAUGAAUAAGGAUCGGCUAACUCCGUGCCAGCAGCCGCGGUAAUACGGAGGAGCCGAGCGUUAUCCGGAUUUCUUGGGUUUAAAGGGAGCGUAGAUGGGUUGUUAAGGCAGUGGUGAAAGUUUGCGGCUCAACCGUAAAAUUGCCAUUGAUACGGGCAGCCUUGAGUACAGUUGCGGUCGGCGGACUUCGUGUUGUAGCGGUGCACUGCUUCGAUAUCAC
rnacentral:rRNA from 1 species